rnacentral:rRNA from 1 species
GAUGAACGCUAGCUACAGGCUUAACACAUGCAAGUCGUGGGGCAGCGGAUGCUUAGCUUGCUAAGUAUGCCGGCGACCGGCGCACGGGUGAGUAACGCGUACCGAACCUGCCCAUCACACAGGGAUAGGCUUGCGAAAGCAAGAUUAAUAUCUGAUGGUCUCAGUUGUAUGCAUGUAUGAUUGAGUAAAGCCUUCGGGCGGUGAUGGAUGGCGGUGCGUCCCAUUAGGAAGUUGGCGGGGUAACGGCCCACCAAUCCUUCGAUGGGUAGGGGUUCUGAGAGGAAGGUCCCCCACAUUGGAACUGAGAUACGGUCCAAACUCCUACGGGAGGCAGCAGUGAGGAAUAUUGGUCAAUGGGCGAGAGCCUGAACCAGCCAAGUAGCGUGCGGGAUGAAGGCCCUUGUGGUCGUAAACCGCUUUUAUCAGUGAAUAAAGUGCACCACGUGUGGUGUCAUUGCAGGUAGCUGAAGAAAAAGGACCGGCUAAUUCCGUGCCAGCAGCCGCGGUAAUACGGAAGGUCCGGGCGUUAUCCGGAAUUAUUGGGUUUAAAGGGAGCGCAGGCGGGAGUGUAAGUCAGCUGUUAAAUAUCAGGGCCCAACUCUGUUAUGCAGUUGAAACUAUAUUUCUUGAGUACGCACAGGGAUGGCGGAAUUCAGGGUGUAGCGGUGAAAUGCUUAGAUAUCCUGAAGAACUCCGAUCGCGAAGGCAGCCAUCCGGAGCGUAACUGACGCUGAGGCUCGAAGGUGCGGGUAUCGAACAGG